ACGAACGCUGGCGGCGUGCUUCACCCCUGCCAGUCGAACGGAAAGGCCCUGCUUUUGUGGGGUGCUCGAGUGGCGAACGGGUGAGUAACACGUGAGUAACCUGCCCUUGACUUUGGGAUAACUUCAGGAAACUGGGGCUAAUACCGGAUAGGAGCUCCUGCUGCAUGGUGGGGGUUGGAAAGUUUCGGCGGUUGGGGAUGGACUCGCGGCUUAUCAGCUUGUUGGUGGGGUAGUGGCUUACCAAGGCUUUGACGGGUAGCCGGCCUGAGAGGGUGACCGGCCACAUUGGGACUGAGAUACGGCCCAGACUCCUACGGGAGGCAGCAGUGGGGAAUAUUGCUCAAUGGGCGGAAGCCUGAUGCAGCAACGCCGCGUGCGGGAUGACGGCCUUCGGGUUGUAAACCGCUUUCGCCUGUGACGAAGCGUGAGUGACGGUAAUGGGUAAAGAAGCACCGGCUAACUACGUG
rnacentral:rRNA from 1 species